rnacentral:rRNA from 1 species
AGAGCGAACGCUGGCGGCAGGCCUAACACAUGCAAGUCGAGCGCCCCGCAAGGGGAGCGGCAGACGGGAGAGUAACACGUGGGAACGUGCCCUUUGGUUCGGAACAACACAGGGAAACUUGUGCUAAUACCGGAUAAGCCCUUACGGGGAAAGAUUUAUCGCCAAAGGAUCGGCCCGCGUCUGAUUAGCUAGUUGGUGAGGUAACGGCUCACCAAGGCUACGAUCAGUAGCUGGUCUGAGAGGAUGAUCAGCCUCACUGGGACUGAGACACGGCCCAGACUCCUACGGGAGGCAGCAGUGGGGAAUAUUGGACAAUGGGCGCAAGCCUGAUCCAGCCAUGCCGCGUGGGUGAUGAAGGCCCUAGGGUUGUAAAGCCCUUUCGGCGGGGAAGAUAAUGACGGUACCCGCAGAAGAAGCCCCGGCUAACUUCGUGCCAGCAGCCGC